rnacentral:rRNA from 1 species
AUUGAACGCUGGCGGCAUGCCUUACACAUGCAAGUCGAACGGCAGCGCGGACUUCGGUCUGGCGGCGAGUGGCGAACGGGUGAGUAAUACAUCGGAACGUACCCUGUUGUGGGGGAUAACUAGUCGAAAGAUUAGCUAAUACCGCAUACGACCUGAGGGUGAAAGUGGGGGACCGGAAACGGCCUCAUGCAGCAGGAGCGGCCGAUGUCUGAUUAGCUAGUUGGUGGGGUAAAGGCCCACCAAGGCGACGAUCAGUAGCUGGUCUGAGAGGACGAUCAGCCACACUGGGACUGAGACACGGCCCAGACUCCUACGGGAGGCAGCAGUGGGGAAUUUUGGACAAUGGGGGCAACCCUGAUCCAGCAAUGCCGCGUGUGUGAAGAAGGCCUUCGGGUUGUAAAGCACUUUUGUCCGGAAAGAAAUCGCGCUGGUUAAUACCUGGCGUGGAUGACGGUACCGGAAGAAUAAGCACCGGCUAACUACGU